UGCCAGCCGCCGCGGUAAUACGGAGGGUGCGAGCGUUAAUCGGAAUUACUGGGCGUAAAGGGCGCGUAGGCGGCUUAGUAAGUCGGAUGUGAAAGCCCCGGGCUUAACCUGGGAAUGCCAUUCGAUACUGCUUGGCUUGAGUAUGGUAGAGGGAAGCGGAAUUCCGGGUGUAGCGGUGAAAUGCGUAGAGAUCCGGAGGAACACCAGUGGCGAAGGCGGCUUUCUGGACCAAUACUGACGCUGAGAUGCGAAAGCGUGGGGAGCGAACAGGAUUAGAUA
rnacentral:rRNA from 1 species